rnacentral:rRNA from 1 species
CCUACGGGUGGCAGCAGUGGGGAAUAUUGGGCAAUGGGCGCAAGCCUGACCCAGCAACGCCGCGUGAAGGAAGAAGGCUUUCGGGUUGUAAACUUCUUUUGACAGGGACGAGCAGAAGACGGUACCUGUCGAAUAAGCCACGGCUAACUACGUGCCAGCAGCCGCGGUAAUACGUAGGUGGCAAGCGUUGUCCGGAUUUACUGGGUGUAAAGGGCGUGUAGCCGGGCUGACAAGUCAGAUGUGAAAUCCGGGGGCUCAACCCCCGAACUGCAUUUGAAACUGGUGGGCUUGAGUAUCAGAGAGGCAGGCGGAAGUCCGGGUGUAGCGGUGAAAUGAGUAGAAAUUAGGAGGAACACCAGUGGCGAAGGCGGCCUGCUGGACGACAACGGACGGUGAGGCGCGAAAGCGUAGGGAGCAAACAGGAGUAGAUACCCGUGUAGUC